rnacentral:rRNA from 1 species
AGGACGAACGCUGGCGGCGUGCCUAACACAUGCAAGUCGAACGGGGAUUUGUUUCGGCAGAAUCCUAGUGGCGAACGGGUGAGUAACGCGUAGGCAACCUGCCCUCCGGCCGGGGACAACACUCCGAAAGGGGUGCUAAUACCGGAUACGAAGUCUGUGCCGCAUGGUACGGAUUUGAAAGAUGGCCUCUAUUUAUAAGCUAUCGCCGGGGGAUGGGCCUGCGUCCGAUUAGCUGGUUGGUGGGGUAACGGCCUACCAAGGCGACGAUCGGUAGCCGGUCUGAGAGGAUGAACGGCCACAUUGGGACUGAGACACGGCCCAGACUCCUACGGGAGGCAGCAGUGGGGAAUCUUCCGCAAUGGGCGCAAGCCUGACGGAGCAACGCCGCCGUGAGUGAGGAAGUUCUUCGGAACGUAAAGCUCUGUUGUUCCUGACGAACCUCCCUUCUAUCAACAACGGAAGGGACUGACGGUAGGGAACGAGGAAGCCACGGCUAACUACGUGCCAGCCGCCGC